GGGGGUGAAUUGGUUUCGACGGAGGUAGAUGAAGCGGAGGUUGCAUGUCGAGGUCCGUUGGCCUCGUUAAACUGACGGAAAACUAUUAAAUGCCAACUCUGAAUUGGCUCUAGCUGCCUAAUUAAUUAGGUAACUACGUCCUUCCUGUCUAAGCCUGCGGGGCAGGGAAGGGCGACGAUUAGCAGGCUAGCCGAUCAUUUUUUCUCAGAGGAUGAUCAGCGAAAAAACAUCUGAGAUAGUGCUUCGCAAAUCCUGCCUGCGAGAGUUGCGAAGGGCGACAACCCAAAACACAGGAAAAGCAUGUAGUAGCUUCUGUGGAUAUACCCUCGGACGCGAGUUCGAUUCUCGCCACCUCCACCA
rnacentral:tmRNA from 1 species